rnacentral:rRNA from 1 species
AGCCACAUUGUACUUUAUAUGUGGUAAUUUCUGCUCAAUGAAUAUGUUAAAUAGCCGCAGUACCCUGACUGUGCAAAGGUAGCAUAAUCAUUUGGCUCAUAAUUGGAGUCUAGUAUGAAUGAAUUUAUGGCUAGAAACUGUCUCAUUUAAAGUUUAUUGAACUUACUAAGUGAGUGCAAAUACUCACAUUAUUACGAAAGACGAGAAGACCCUAGAAAUUUUUAAUUAAUUUAUUUUAUUAAUUUAAUAAAGCGUUUUUGUUGGGGCGACAUAAUAACAUAUAACUUAUUAUAAAUAUAAGAACUUUAUAUUGAGUAAAUUAAAAUUACUCUAGGGAUAACAGCAUAAUUUACGAAAGUUUGUGACCUCGAUGUUGGAUUAGGGACUGUAUUAUUCAAAAGAAAAUACGAUUUGUUCUGUUCGAACAAUAAUUCUU